rnacentral:rRNA from 1 species
UACGUAGGGUGCAAGCGUUGUCCGGAAUUAUUGGGCGUAAAGAGCUCGUAGGCGGUUUGUCGCGUCUGCUGUGAAAUCCUGAGGCUCAACCUCGGGCUUGCAGUGGGUACGGGCAGACUAGAGUGCGGUAGGGGAGAUUGGAAUUCCUGGUGUAGCGGUGGAAUGCGCAGAUAUCAGGAGGAACACCUAUGGCGAAGGCAGCUCGCUGGUACGUGACUGACGCUGAGGCGCGAAAGCGUGGGUAGCAAACAGG